CCAAUAGCGUAUAUUUAAGUUGUUGCAGUUAAAAAGCUCGUAGUUGGAUUUUGGGUUGGAGCGGUCGGUCUGCCUCUUUGGUUGAACUGGCCUCUGCAUCCUUCUUGCCGGGGACGCGUUCUGGCCUUCAUUGGCUGGGAGGCGGGUUCGGCGAUGUUACUUUGAAAAAAUUAGAGUGUUCAAAGCAGGCCUUUGCUCUGAAUACAUUAGCAUGGAAUAACGUGAUAGGACUCUGGUUCUAUUGUGUUGGUCUUCGGGACCGGAGUAAUGAUUAAGAGGGACAGUUGGGGGCAUUCGUAUUUCAUUGUCAGAGGUGAAAUUCUUGGAUUUAUGAAAGACGAACUUCUGCGAAAGCAUUUGCCAAGGAUGUUUUCAUUAAUCAAGAACGAAAGUUGGGGGCUCGAAGACGAUCAGAUACCGUCCUAGUCUCAACCAUAAACGAUGCCGACUAGGGAUUGGCGGAAGUUCUAUUGAUGACUUCGCCAGCACCUUAUGAGAAAUCAAAGUUUUUGGGUUCCGGGGGGAGUAUGGUCGCAAGGCUGAAACUUAAAGGAAUUGACGGAAGGGCACCACCAGGUGUGGAGCCUGCGGCUUAAUUUGACUCAACACGGGGAAACUUACCAGGUCCAGACAUGGCAAGGAUUGACMGAUUGAGAGCUCUUUCUUGAUUCUAUGGGUGGUG
rnacentral:rRNA from 1 species